AUUGAACGCUGGCGGCAGGCCUAACACAUGCAAGUCGAGCGGAGCGGCUGACGGGUGGGUAAUUCCUAGGAAUCUGCCUGGUAGUGGGGGAUAACGUCCGGAAACGGGCCCUAAUACCGCAUCCUAUCAGAUGAGUCUAGGUCGGAUUAGGUAGUUUGUGGGGUAAAGGACUACCAGGGCGACGAUCCGUAACUGGUCUGCGAGGAUGAUCAGUCACACUGGAAGUGAGAAAGGGUCCAGACUCACACGGGAGGCAGCAGUGGGGAUUAUUGGACAAUGGGCGAAGACCUGAGCACACCAUGCCGCGGGUGUGAGGAAGGUCUUCGGGUUGUAAAGGAAUUUAUGUUGGGGGGCGUUACCAGCAGAAUAAGCACCGGCUAACUACGUGCCAGCAGCCGCGGUAAUAC
rnacentral:rRNA from 1 species